CAGUUGCCGCAGCCACGACCCGCCUGAACAACCUCGACGUCCCACAAUUCCUGCGUACAAGAACAAACAGCAACACAGCGACACAGCUAACAUGUCAGACAAGAAGCAAACCGUAGACUUGGGCUUGCUGGAGGAGGAUGACGAGUUUGAAGAAUUCCCAGCCGAGGACUGGACGGGGCUGGAUGAAGAUGAAGAUGCUCAUGUGUGGGAAGAUAACUGGGACGAUGACAACGUAGAGGAUGACUUCUCAAAUCAGCUCAGAGCGGAGCUCGAAAAGCAUGGUUACAAGAUGGAGACCUCAUAGCGGCUGACAAGGCCUUUCACUAUGCGACGACAUUGGAUAUGGACAUUUAUAUUUGAAUAUCAUCGGGUAACCACAAAACCACAAGUGGAGAUUAGAAGAUGCUGUUUCUUUUCUUUUUUUUCCUUUUUUUUGUAAAAAAUGUUAAUGGGCGUGAUAUGCAGACAAGAAAGUAAAGUGUUUGGAGAAAGAAAAA